rnacentral:rRNA from 1 species
AUGGCGCCUUUCGUCAGCCGCGAUGGUGCCGCAUAUCUGGGCCAGCUUCAAGUCCCCGUACUUCCUGGCGUGCCUUGCAGUGUUGCCGUGAGAUAUGAAUGUUGCCCUCUCUUGGAAAGAUGUGUAAAUGAAAAACUCAUAGGGGUUGGCCUCGAUACAAGUGCUUACAAUUCCAGCACCAACCAGAUACUGUAUGGUCUUCUCCACCUGCCUCAUAUCAGCCCUCCCAGUGAGAUAAAUAUACUUGUUCAUGAGAUCACCGUGUCGGUUCUCCUCGGCCGUCCAUGCCCUCGUCCAGACAGCCCAGCUGGUUGGGCUGCUGCCAGUUUCGUCGCGGACACCGCCAUCAAGGAUAUUGAGCAUUUUCUGAUAGGUAGGGAGUGCUUCCUCAGUGACCAUGUCUCCAACCAGACAUACCAAGUAGUCGUCGGGGAUCUCCUCGGCUCGCUCCCUCAGCUCCUUGACUUCGUCAUAAAAUCUAUCCAAGGAAGGGUCUGGCAGGUAGUCCUGUGGCUGCCAGGAUCUUUCAACCGGCUUCAAGAGGACCAGAAUGUUGUCCUCUGCCCAACUGUUAAGCGAAUCAAAAAUCUCUCUCUUUUCAGGUGGCAAUGA